UUGGUACCCCUCCCUGGCGUCAGAAAGAAGCCAAACAAGGAGCUUUCUGCAGAAUGAAACCUUUCCUUUCAGAAGCACUGCUGACAGUUUGGUGGUUGCCAUUGGGGCAGUGAGCCUUUUGUCCAUUCUGAGGUUGGGCUGGUUUCUCCUCUUGGCCGUGCCCUACAGACCAUAAAGGAAAUCAGCUAGAAGUCCCCAGAAACAUCCACAGAUGGCCCUGGACAUCAGCCACAUUCUGAGAAACAUGUCAUGUUCUGGGAGGUCUAAGGCAUCAAUGCAUGGGCGCUGUCCAACCUCUGGUGCUGAAGCAGCCAAGAGACGCAAGCCUGCGUGGCUGCCUCUUAGGAUAUGACAGCACAGCCACUGGCCUCUACUGAAUCCUAUGCAACCUCAGAAGACACCCAGGAGUGAUGCCAUCAUGUGGUGCAAGAGUUCUGAGGGACCACAAUCCUGAAGACAUUGAAUGGCUGUGUUCCUGCUCAUUGCUGGAGGUACUGUCAGGGUCCCUGUCCUCAACCCCUGGUCUGACACUUGCAGAUCAGGCAGGACAUUCUGGAGGAAUCAUGCCCUUGGAAGGAUCCCUGAGGAGUGACUGUUGUUAGAUUAAAAAACAGUGGCAAAGAGCAAUACAGAGAGUUGCCAAAAUUCACACCGCUGGUCCAGGUUUGAAGCAAGCAGUCUGUACCUGCAGUCCUUGUCUGUAACCAUGGCACCCUGGCUUCUCACACAUCUCAUCGUGGAGUUCCACCAUGUGUCAGGCAUGGCACUGAGCACCUUCUUUUAAGAAUAUAAUUUGUAAUUAUGUAGAUUAUUAAUUCUACUUCAAAAUGCCACACAGCCUUCAUGUGAUAAAAUGAAACAAUUGCUCAACUGAUCUCCUGGGAUCUCUACUAAGAUGUUGGCAGCCCGGCCAGCUGGUCUGGCCCUGGACGUGCCUUCAUGGUCUGGUUAUGCUUCAUGACCUGCACUGUGGUCAGUGCCAUUUUGCAGACUCUGAUCACAGUGAAACGUUCCAUGGGAACUUGGGCCAUGAGAAACAUCCUUCCUAACCACGUGACUGCAGAAACAUCCUUAUCGCGUCCUCCUGGGCAAAGGCCCAACAGCCUGACUGCAGGGACAUCCUUGCCAUAUCCUGCUGGGCAGCAAGCUCUACCACCCAGAUCCCUCCCUCCCAGUCCCAUGAUUACCCCAGCCUGUGAGUGGCAGUUGGUGCUGGCACUAAGCUGGUUUCCUCCUCCCCAGGGUUUUGCUGGCAAUAAAGAUGUUGCUGUUGAAGCCA
ensembl:lncRNA CYP4F29P cytochrome P450 family 4 subfamily F member 29, pseudogene